rnacentral:lncRNA from 13 species
AUGCUGGAGAAACCCCCAAUGGAUGAAUACUUCUCACACAUCGGGAGGCUCAAUCAGCUACUAGUACUUAGUCAGCAGCUAGAGGAGGAUGUAAAACAUCUCGGGAGCCACAAAUACAUCGCCCACCAGCUGUCAGUUAUAUAUGUAAGUGGUCUACUCAUUUCUAUUUUGUAUACUCUAUUCUAUUGGUAGCCGAUUAUGUUUAUUAUAUUCAUAGGUCAAACUCGACGGUACAAUAAUAAUUUCCCCCAUUGCACAUUCACGGUUUCACAGUGAUUUACAAACUUUAUCUUACCUUCAUGUGUUGUAGCAAGUGCUCAGCUCAUUCCGAGGUAUCCAGCCACUGUCGGUCCUGAAGAAAGAGAUUGAGGCCAACUUCAGACAGAUGAAGACAUCUUUGCUGACAGAGGAGGGCUCCAGGCAGGAGCCUCAGCUCCCAGCACACUACAUCAGCUGGUGAGAGCAGGAGCUACUGCUUUAAAUUAUGGACUGCAUUCAAUUAUCACACUUUCCUUGCAGUGCAGUGAAUGCCCCAUGUUUCAGUUAUCAGGCUAACCUAAUCCCAACCUAACUCCAAACCCAGUUAGUAUUCAUUGGUUUAAUGUGAUAACUUUACGGUUACAAUCAUAGUCUACUCUUUUGGAAUGUGUGUCCCUGCAGGAUAUUGGAGCUGACUCUUAGUAUAACGUCAACAGUCUCCUCGCUACCAGAGGAACUCACUGAAGACCUGAGUCCAGCCAUGACCUUUGUGUCCCAGCUAUGACAUCACACCUGACAUUGGGCCCGUGUUACAUAUUACCAACCCGUGGAGCUGAGGGUCAACAACAUUUGAUUUUUUGAUUUUUUAUUAAUGUCCGACAGACCAACCCGGUGAUUCAAGAAUGAUGCUUUGACAUGUCACUGUCAUUUUAUUGAAUAGGGUCCUGAGCUCUCAUUGGUUAAGUGGAUGAAUGUUAAUGAAUGUGUUAUAAAUGUGUUAGGCCAAAUGUCUAAAAAGAGGUGCUAAAUAAUGUUACUGUAUGAAAUUGCAUUUGAACAAAUUGUUUACAUUGGCCAAUAAAUUAAAUUGAGAGAUAAGCCUAUAGACUGAAAAUCUUCUGAAUUUCAAUAACAGAGAUUGACCACGAGUCAUAGAUUUGAAAGAGAACAGGCUAAUCGGGCAAAAUGGUCACGGAAGCCACGGAUGUUCAAGGCCGACCGUGGUCGAGCAUACAUUGUUAGCGGAAAACAGGAUAGUGAAUGGAAAAAUGGAAAUCCUCAUGGUCAAUCAUCGUCUUAAUAAAUACACAUUUGAAAGAAAACCAUUGUACCAAUACUUGCUUCUAAUACACCAGAUAUAUGUCAUUGAACUGAUUACUUGACUUGAUUAUUUUAUUGGCUAUCAACUUGUGUUACUCAGCUAGCCUGCACUGUCACGCAGUGUUGCCAACUCCUCAUUAAGGAAAGUAGCUAUAUUGUGAUGGAUGCUGUAGGGGAGAGGAAUAACCUCGUGGGAGAGACAAAAAGUGAGUAAAAAACAUCCUAAAUAUGUUUAGAACUACAAAUGAACUUUCUUCUGUUGAUUCUUGGUUUUUUUUAUGUCACAAUUCCAACCAUCCUCAAAUUAUGACUUCAAAGUAUUUUAAUGAUUGGGACCGGGAAAAGUGACCCAAAAGAGACACUCCAGCAGAGUUACUUAGUUUUUUAGUUUAGUUUUUUUAUUUGUUUUUGUUUUUAACCUUAUGGAUCCACUUAGGAGCCUACAACAAGUCACAGUAAAACAUUAACAUUUUUAACCAUACAUUUUUUUUUGUAUACAUUCUACAUUAACAAUCUAAAUGGACCUAAAAGAGACAAUAGAAAAAACUGUCAAUGGCAAUGUGAGAAAAUUAAGGUAACUAGUCUGGCCCUAAUUCAGGUUAGUUUUGUAAACCAGGGAGGGAUCAGCCAGCGGCAGCUUCCCGCAUGCGCGAUUCAUUUGCAGUCUGGACGCGGACUGGUGAACAUCCGCUCUGACUGCAGUUGGGAGGGGCUGCUGCGCGAGGACUGAGUGCUUUGAGACGGGGGUGGGGCCCCAAGAGUAAGAACGAUACGUGCUUUCACGUCAGUGUCUCCAAUAACACCAGAAAAAGUCGCUAGAUUUGUUGCGAGUCGCUUUUUAAAAAAUGUGUCGCUAAAAGGGUCUGAAUACUCCCUAAAUAUAGCGACAAAGUCGCUAAAUUGGUAACACUGCGAUGUCCGCGUCUUCUUCGGUGGGGUUUAUCGGCGGGUGGCAUCCAACGUAAUGGUGCAUUACCGCCACCUACUGUACUGGAGUGUAGGCCAGAGAAAGCGAGAAACCUAAUCCUACCUGCCAGCCCCGUUGCUUAAAAAAGCUAACAAAAUAUUUGGGACUAUAUCUAAUGACGUUAUACUCAAUAUACUCUUUAAACUAAUUUCCUGUAUCCCCUUUUCCCUCAUACUAGAUCUCAUCCUCUCUCUUUCCCUCCAAUAAUGACCAUACUGUAUCAAUACAUGCUCCACGGUCUCUGUUUCCUGGCAAUACUCACAUUUUCCUGUUGGAUGCUUUCCUAUCACAUGUAAGGUCUUAUUCAACUGGCUGUGGCCCACACUUAAUCGUGUAAAUAUAGCCUCCUCUCUUCUGUUCCUUCCUGCCAUUCUCCCCUCCCCAACUUUCCUCUGUUCUUGAAAUAAAUACCUGCCCUAAGUAUCUCUACUCCACUGCUCCUGCCAUUUCUCCAACGUCACUCUCCAUAUCAUGCUUUUUGCCUCUGCCUUGCUCAUUGAAACUAGCACAUCAACAUCCCCACUACUUAGUGCUUGUUUAGCCAGUAUAUCAACUGCCUCGUUCCCCUCCACUGUAUGACAUCUAGCCUUUCCAUGGUUCGGCAGCCCGUACAACAAUACGCUAUCCUUCCGUAGUCUAUUACAGAUCUGAUCAAUGCAACAU